rnacentral:lncRNA from 1 species
AACAUUUCUCCUCUUGCACGAAAUUCAAUUUUAAACCCACCCAUAGCUAAAUCGGAGUAAAAGAACUGGCCAAUUGGCCGAAAAAUACCGCCAAAGCUCGUACUUCAACUCACCUAAUAUCACACAAUCUUUAACUGAUUUGCAUAAUGCUGCUCCAUAUGUCAUGCAUUCAUAUUCAAUUUCUAAAACUCCUCUACGAGUCUUUACUCUGAGGCUAUUAUAUAGGCAAGAGUGCAAGUACUCUUUCUACUAAGUGCAUCUGUAACCAUAUCAUCUUUUCCUGGAUGGUAUAG